GUGAAAGUAGCAGUUUUACCAAAUCACCAGAAGGUGUUUGAUGUUGGUUUGAGCAAGAUAAACCUGAUCACUUGGAGUGAGAUUUAACAGAAUUAAAUGAUGGUCAAAAUCAGUAGGAUUCACCAAGUUUGAGCUCAUUUGAGCAAAGUUAACAAUGUAUACAAUAAAAACCCUAGAAAUCGACAAAAUCAAACUCCUGUGAACCAAGGCUAUCAACUCAACACCCACAAAUGCACAACUUGGUGUGGCAUCCUUAUUUGGGGUAUGGAUCACUCCUGUAAAGUUUGGAAUCAAUUGGGUAAACUUGCCAGUGUAAAGUUGCUCAAAUUUGGUUCUGGACAGAAAGGGUUUUGGUAUUAAUAGGUGGAUCAAAUCAACUUGGAU
rnacentral:lncRNA from 1 species